CAAGUCGAACGCGAAAGUUCCCUUCGGGGAGCAAGUAGAGUGGCGCACGGGUGAGUAACACGUAGGUAAUCUACCUUCGGAUUGGGAAUAACAACCGGAAACGGUUGCUAAUACCGAAUAAUGCAGCGGCACCUAAUGGUGACAGUUGUUAAAGCGGGGGAUCGCAAGACCUCGCGUCUGAAGAGGAGCCUGCGGCGGAUUAGCUANUUGGUAAGGUAAUGGCUUACCAAGGCGAUGAUCCGUAGCCGGCCUGAGAGGGCGGUCGGCCACACUGACACUGACAUACGGGUCAGACUCCUACGGGAGGCAGCAGUCGGGAAUUUUGGGCAAUGGGCGAAAGCCUGACCCAGCAACGCCGCGUGAAGGAUGAAAUCCCUCGGGAUGUAAACUUCGCAAGAACGGGAAGAAUAAGUAGGAGUUAACACCUCUUACGAUGACGGUACUGUUUGUAAGCUCCGGCUAACUCCGCGCCAGCAGCCGCGGUAAUACGGGGGGAGCAAGCGUUGUUCGGAUUUACUGGGCGUAAAGGGCGCGUAGGCGGCGAUUGCAAGUCAGUUGUGAAAUCUCCGGGCUUAACCCGGAAAGGUCAACUGAUACUGCAGGGCUAGAGUGCAGAAGGGGCAACUGGAAUUCUCGGUGUAGCGGUGAAAUGCGUAGAUAUCGAGAGGAACACCUGCGGCGAAGGCGGGUUGCUGGGCUGACACUGACGCUGAUGCGCGAAAGCCAGGGGAGCGAACGGGAUUAGAUACCCCGGUAGUCCUGGCCUUAAACGAUGAAUGCUUGGUGUCUGGGGUUUUAUAGUCCCCGGGUGCCGUC
rnacentral:rRNA from 1 species